GACGAACGCUGGCGGCGUGCUUAACACAUGCAAGUCGAACGGAAAGGCCCUGCUUUUGUGGGGUGCUCGAGUGGCGAACGGGUGAGUAACACGUGAGUAACCUGCCCUUGACUUUGGGAUAACUUCAGGAAACUGGGGCUAAUACCGGAUAGGAGCUCCUGCUGCAUGGUGGGGGUUGGAAAGUUUCGGCGGUUGGGGAUGGACUCGCGGCUUAUCAGCUUGUUGGUGGGGUAGUGGCUUACCAAGGCUUUGACGGGUAGCCGGCCUGAGAGGGUGACCGGCCACAUUGGGACUGAGAUACGGCCCAGACUCCUACGGGAGGCAGCAGUGGGGAAUAUUGCACAAUGGGCGGAAGCCUGAUGCAGCAACGCCGCGUGCGGGAUGACGGCCUUCGGGUUGUAAACCGCUUUCGCCUGUGACGAAGCGUGAGUGACGGUAAUGGGUAAAGAAGCACCGGCUAACUACGUGCCAGCAGCCGCGGUGAUACGUAGGGUGCGAGCGUUGUCCGGAUUUAUUGGGCGUAAAGGGCUCGUAGGUGGUUGAUCGCGUCGGAAGUGUAAUCUUGGGGCUUAACCCUGAGCGUGCUUUCGAUACGGGUUGACUUGAGGAAGGUAGGGGAGAAUGGAAUUCCUGGUGGAGCGGUGGAAUGCGCAGAUAUCAGGAGGAACACCAGUGGCGAAGGCGGUUCUCUGGGCCUUUCCUGACGCUGAGGAGCGAAAGCGUGGGGAGCGAACAGGCUUAGAUACCCUGGUAGUCCACGCUGUAAACGGUGGGUACUAGGUGUGGGGUCCAUUCCACGGGUUCCGUGCCGUAGCUAACGCUUUAAGUACCCCGCCUGGGGAGUACGGCCGCAAGGCUAAAACUCAAAGGAAUUGACGGGGCCCCGCACAAGCGGCGGAGCAUGCGGAUUAAUUCGAUGCAACGCGUAGAACCUUACCUGGGUUUGACAUGGAUCGGGAGUGCUCAGAGAUGGGUGUGCCUCUUUUGGGGUCGGUUCACAGGUGGUGCAUGGCUGUCGUCAGCUCGUGUCGUGAGAUGUUGGGUUAAGUCCCGCAACGAGCGCAACCCUUGUUCACUGUUGCCAGCACGUUAUGGUGGGGACUCAGUGGAGACCGCCGGGGUCAACUCGGAGGAAGGUGGGGAUGACGUCAAGUCAUCAUGCCCCUUAUGUCCAGGGCUUCACGCAUGCUACAAUGGCUGGUACAGAGAGUGGCGAGCCUGUGAGGGUGAGCGAAUCUCGGAAAGCCGGUCUCAGUUCGGAUUGGGGUCUGCAACUCGACCUCAUGAAGUCGGAGUCGCUAGUAGUCGCAGAUCAGCAACGCUGCGGUGAAUACGUUCCCGGGGCUUGUACACACCGCCCGUCAAGUCAUGAAAGUUGGUAACACCCGAAGCCGGUGGCCUAACCGUUGUGGGGGAGCCGUCGAAGGUGGGACUGGUG
rnacentral:rRNA from 1 species